rnacentral:lncRNA from 1 species
GCUUAGAUCCAGGCAAGGGAAGACAGAACCGUCUUUAACCAGAGAAGCAGAAACAGUUGUAGCACAGCUCAUAGAGAAAGUGUUGGAGCAUGGAGUAAAUUCAACUGACUGGUUAGCACGCCAGCUGGAGGAAGGCAGCAAUUGGAUAACUGGAUUUGUGUCAGGAAAAUGAGAGAGAGGAGGAAGGGAGUGAGAGAGACAGACAGAGGGAGGGAGAGAAAGAGAGAUUGAGCUUUCUUCUUCCUCCCUUCUAUUUGGCCUUGGAAUACCCUGCAGACAAAGAUGGACUUCCUUUAGCCAUGUCCUCUGGCCCAGGCUACCAUCACCCCCCAAAGCCCUGAGCUUGAAACUGGGGUCAAGGAAGCCUCCCACAUGAUCAAUCAGUUAUCCAACCUCUUUUCCUGUUGUGGCUCUGCCCUCCUCUAGGGUCUUGGAGUUCUCACCAUAAACAGCAAUUGUCGCCACAAAUGAAGAAUGUUCACGUUUGUUUUACAACUUCUUAAUGCACCGCAUUCAGUCUUCCUGUAACCUUGACUGCUUAGUCCUUAAAGUAUAUUGGUGGAGCAAUGUCUGCAUGCCUUUGUCAAUACAUCUAUUGGCCUGUUUGUCCCAGCAUCCCAGUUGGAAUGGGAACCCUUCUAAGAAAAGCCGUUCUCCUUUAUUCACCUACAAACUCACUGGGCACCCCCGGAAUUGUGGUCAUGGGCGUAUAGCAGGUGUCUAGUCAUUCUUUUCUGGUUGUGCCAAUAAUUGGGGCCUGAUUACAAUUCUGUUUCAUCCAGUGCACCUCAACAGAGAGAAACCAGCAAGAAACUCAUGCUUCCUGCCCCAUCUCCUUCCUUUCUUCUGUGUGUAAAGUGGAGAAAAGGCUGGAGAGUGUGGUCAGAUAGGAAGAAACCAAGCAAAGCACACAUAAACAAACAAAUGAAUAA